UACAGAGGUCCCAAGCGUUACUGAGAAUCACUGGGUUUAAAGGGUGCGUAGGUAGUCCGUUAAGUCAGUUGUGAAAUCCCCGGGCUCAACCCGGGAACUGCUUCUGAUACUGGCGGACUUGAGGCCAGUAGGGGUCACUAGAACUGACGGUGGAGCGGUGAAAUGCGUAGAUAUCGUCAGGAAUGCCGGUGGUGAAGACGGGUGACUGGGCUGGUUCUGACACUGAGGCACGAAAGCGUGGGGAGCGAACGGG
rnacentral:rRNA from 1 species